CUUAGUGGGCAAAGCGGAGGGGAAACACCCUGAACCAUUCCGAACCAGGAAGUUAAGCCCUCCAGCGCUGAUGAUACUGCACCUUUCGGGUGUGGGAAAGUAGGUCCCCGCUAAGC
rnacentral:rRNA from 1 species